AUACAUGGCCGACGUGGGUCACAGUGUAGUAUCUGAUCUCAUCAGCUUCAUAUUUGAUACGGGUUGUAUUUGUACCCAAGAUAUACAAUUUAUUUUUGCACGUUGGCGGAGUGUUUCAAGCCUGCUUCACCUCCUUCGCGCGUCAGCUCUGCAUAGCACGGUCUUCGGGAUAAGCCCACGUUUU